AAUAAGCUCUCUCGUGAAAUGAUAGCUGUUGUUAUUAUUGUUACUAUAUUUAGAUUCUAUUGUCAUUAUACUUAGAGUCUAUUCCUACAAGUGCAUAGAGCUUCAAGGACGAAAAUCUGCAUUCCCUUGAUCAAGUCCUUUUUUUUCUUCCAAAAUGUUCAAUGGCGACCGACUGCCUGUAGUAAAUGGCUCAAACUUCUUGGCUUGGCUAGCAGGGACAGAACCUUGACUCCCUCCUUCUUGAUAAUAGUCACUGGACACUCGGAAGGCCUAUGAUGCAGGUAAAAUUAUUACCCUCAUCUACAUCUUACAGAUGGGGAAACUGAGAAGGAAAGAAAGGACCCCUAACCACCCCCUGUCAGGGCCCCAGCCUGGCCCCGGCCUGUGGAUGACUGUCAGGACUGGAGUGUGCUGUGAUAAACCAGAGCACGUGCACCAAUGGAGAGACCACUGCCUGGGAGAGAAGGCUCUCUGGUGCCUAAGGGCAACAUCACUCACUAGACUGAAUUCAGUUUCUGGAGCUGGCCACAUGACAACUCUCCGUGAUAGUGACUGGGCCCUACAUCCAAGGCAGCCUCUGUCUGACUCUAGCGCAAUUUAUGAAAAGCCAAAAGUAUCUUCCUCUCUGCUCCCUUCAUCCUGUGCGCAUUCUCACCUCUCGGCCUUUGCCCUCGCUCUUGCCUUCACUGGGAUGCCCUCUUCUCUCUACCUUGUUUGAUCCAGCCCCCGGGACCAACCUCUGAGACCCAGCUGAUGGCCCUGGCUGGACCCCUGGUUCUCUUAUUACUCUGGGUAAGUCCCAUGGCUGCUCUGGGCCUCAGUUUUGCAAUAAAGCAUUGAACUGAGGGUCCUCUAAGUUCCUUCCGGUCCUGACAUUGCAAAUGGCAGAUACUGUAGUGUCCACCACAAGAAGGACAUAAUCCUGACUACAUGGAUUCCCUUGGCUCAUUGAAGACCUGUCAGACUUGCAGUCAGGAGAGUGGGGACAGUUGGCUGUAUGGCCCAUGAAGGUUUGUAGCCAUCACCACAGAGACUGUAGGCAACCGGAGGAGAGGGUUGGGCCUGUGUUUACUGACCCUCCCAUCCUCAGCCCAGCACAGUGUUCAACACCAAAGCUGCUCCAUAAGUAAUCAGCAAAUGAAUGCAUGCAUGUUUGAAAAGCAGUAUGGCAAGUAUUAUUAGUAGAAGCUGAGGUUGGAGUCCAAUGCAGUCAAGUUAGGGCUCCUUAACCUUAAGCUCCAAAGAGAGAAGCCCCCUCCCCCCACCUUUGUCUUUCCCUCCAGGCUCAAAGAGCUGCAUCAGUGCGUUCCAGGAGUGUGUGUGUGUGUGUGUGUGUGUGUGUGUGAGAGAGAGAGAGAGAGAGAGAGAGAGAGGAAAAAAUAAGACUUUAUUAACUUAUUUUAACUAAAGAAAACUUUAAAUCCACAGGCAUCCUUUCCCCACCCAAUAUUCAUUCAUUUAUUUCAAAAACAUUUCUUGAGAACAUCUGUGCUGUUGAGGCUACAGAGAGGGUUGGGAGGACAGGCAUGGAAUCUGGAGAGCCAGAACAUUUGGUUCCUCGCCCCAGCUCAGACAGACACUGUUUGUAUGACUUUAGGCAAGUCACUUUCUUCUUAGUAGCCUAGUAUCCUCAUCUGUAGAGUAGGGGAACUGGUCUUGAUAACAUCUAAGGCUCUUUUCCUUUCUUAUUAUCUGUGAGCAAGCUGCACGUUGCUCUGCAGAGGAGGGGCAGAGAUUUUCUCAAAGAUCUGGGAAGUUGUCCAUGCAUCAGGCAUCAUCUGUAAACUAAAUACGUGCAAUCAUAAGUCCUUUUAUGUGUGUUGGAGUGAGAUGGUGAAUUCCUUCACAAAAGUGUCUCAAACUCUGAAAGGUAGAACCUCCAACGGAAAUGGCACUGGCUCCAGUCCUGACUCACAGGGAGCUUACAGUUUUGCAAAUAAAAUAGAAUCCAAGUAACUGGAACUACAAGUCAAGAAACAGAUGUGGGUCCUGAAAGUUCAGAGGCAUCAAGACCAGUGAUUUUUUUAGAGGUCACACCCCACUGAGGAUCCGAGAAAACUACCAACUCUCCCCAGUAAAGAUACCCUCAUGUGCUAAAUUUCAUGGCAAUUACUUGGUGAUCACAGAUCUCUGGCUCAUCUCACAAACCUCAGGUCAAGAACCCUUGAUUUAGAUAAAGCCAUAAACAGAAGUCCAGCAAGUCUGGAGCAAAUGCCUAGCUUGAAUUCUUGAACAAAAGCAUUGCAUGAAUUAUUAGGAGAAGCUAGGGAUAUAUAGGUCCAUAGCCUAGGGACCUAGGGGCAAGGGUGCUGAUCAGGGAGAAAAGAGGGGAGGGGGAAGCUUAGGUAAAAUAAACUGUGAGCCAUCCUGUCUGUUCCUUCUGCUAGACAAAGCAAUUCUUUAAGCUGUUUUAAAAGACCAAACUCAUAAGCUUCAAAACGUAAACAAGCAGAGCUUCUUAAAUCAUUGGGGAAUUGUUUAUGAAUGCAAUUACUGGACUACAUUGUCUGUUCAUAAUAAACAGAGACUGGCUGAGAAUCCACAACCUCUGUGAUUGGGUGGAGAAGGGCAGAGAAUCAGGAAGGGUCCCUGUUGGGACAAGACCCCAUCUAAAACGAUCCUGUUCACAAGCAAGACCACGAGCUAGAAAACUGCCUCCGUUCCCAGAAACAUGUUCCUUGGGGUGCUAGAAACCUGAUGGACAAGCAAGCUUUGAAAGGUGAAAUAUGCUUCUGAUCCUUAAGUGGUACUAAUUUUGAAAGACACAGCCACAGCCACCAGCACUAACAAUUACACCCAGCAGUCUCAUGGCAAAGGACAAAGGACCUAAUGGCCAAGUGCAGUUUGAUUGAGGCUGCCUGGCAGCCAAGGGCUUAGACCCCUGAGUGAGGUUGGGGGUGGACCAGCUGGGGAGGAGGGAGGAAGUACAGAUCACUGAAAACAGACCGCUCACACUUUGAUGUAUAUCUGCAUCGCCUAGGCGUCUUGUUACAAUGCAAAUUCUGAUUCAAUAGGUCUGGGGUACACGGGGAGAUCUGCAUUUCCAGCAAGCUCCCAGAUCAUGCUGAUGACACUGGUUCUCGGGCCAUACUUUUAUAGUUUCCUUCAAGGUAAUGGCAUGGCUAAGCCCAUAAGCUUCAGAGUCAGACAGACCUGGGUUCAAAUCCUGACUUCCCCACCUCACUAGCUGAAUAACCUGUUACUUAGCCUCUUUGAGACUCAGCUCCUUACCUGUAAAAUACGAACUGGAGGUAGGAUUAUUUGUUCAUUCAACAAAUAUGUAUUUAGCAUCAACUCUGUGUCAGGCUUGUGGUAGGCCCCGGGGAUGCAUUGGUGAGCUAAAACAGGCCCGGUUCCUGACAAUCUUAGAGAUAAUGGAUGUGAAGUCGUCAGCACAGUGCCUGGUACACGGUAAGAACUCAACAAAUACCAUCUAUUUUUAUUAGGAGGGGGAGGAGUAUCAUCCAUUUUAAGCACCCAGGGGAGAGAACUCUUCUGUGAAAUGCUGACUACAUGGAAGGAUUUGGAAUUCGUCCUGCAGACCAGGAGACCCAGAUGUGAAGUGUACAUGGCCCCUCUCCUUGAGGAGCUCCUAGUCUAGUGGGAAGAUGGGUGUGCAGCCUGAGUGGCCCCUGUAAACAGCACCCCCCCCCCCCCCGCCGGCUCUCUCCAUCAGCACACGUCAACGCGGAUUCACUGUGUUCACACACUUGGUCCUGGCUGCCAGCCUCUGCUCACUUCUCCAAGCUGGCACCGGUUCUCUGUUCUCUCUUGAUUGUCCCACCCCAAUUUUACUUUUCUUAUUCUGCCUCCCAUUUGUCUACCCUUCCCUCACCCCCUUUGACUUGAAAAUCACUAUUCUCCCCUCCAGAAAGACCCUGCCCCCAGCUCCUGCUUCAUGGGCCAGACAGCCUGUAGACCUCCCGCUCGGAGCUGGGCACCACCCCGAGGGCCUCCCUACCGUCCUGACCAUCGGGGCCACACCAAUCAGUCAAUCCAGACACUGAGCGGACAACAGUGUUGUGGGUUCUGCGGGAUGAAAUCACAACAGCUUGGACUGCUCUGCAAAUCUGCACACUAUCCUCAGGUCAAGACCUAGUUGGGCCGGGAUAGGCUUAUGUCAAGAGGCUGGAGUUCAUGGAAGAAGGAAUGACAGCCCGCUUCCAGGUGGGGUUGGCCCAGACACCUGGGUAUGGGCCUCCCUCUGCUUCCUUCCUGAUACAGGCUUCGCUGCAGUGGGGUUCUGAGUCGAGGCCGGAGAGAAGGAGCAGAGGGAACCUUCAAGAAACAGCCAAUGACAGGAGACCUGGAGGCAGCCUCAACCUUCAAAUAAACUGCAAGUGACAGGGGCUUCUUACAAAACUAUAGUGAGCAGUGCUAGGCCGUGGGGACACAGUGGGGAUCGGGGCUGAAUCCCUGCCCUCAUGGAGCUUACGGUCUAGCCAAGAAAGCCGAUGUGUUGGCGGGGCAUUUCAGCACAGCACAGUGAGCACUGUCCAGAGCACGCGUGAGCCAUCAGCAAUGCCUCCCAGGGGGCAGGACUUCAGUGAGACCUACCAGAGAACGAAGGCUAGGCAGAGAAGGUGAAGGGAAAGAGCAUUAAAAGAUGAAAAACAGCUCAUGUGGAGGCUGGAUCAAGAGGACUGGUCUGUAUGGUCAAAGCGGCAAGUGUAAGAGAUAGGUGUGGCAAGGAACGAGGCCAAGGGCAAGCCAUGGAAGGUUGACCACUCCACGAAACUUGGGAGCUCUUUUGAGGGCAAUGGAGGGUUCCACAGUACAAUUCAGCAGUACAAUGAUUAGUUCCCUUUUACGGGUAGGGAAACUGAGGCACUGAGGAGCGGUAGGUAACUGGCCUGAGGUCAUACUACCAAAAAGCGGCAGGGGCAGGAUUCCAUCCCGGCAGCGUGAAGCCAGAGCCUACACUCUCGAGCACUUUACAUACACAGACACAAAUACACAUACAUUAAAACUAAAAACAAAAAAAAACAACCCUGCACCCUGGGCGCAGGGCUCAGCCAGAGGCCGUGCAGGCAAACUCUAUUUAAACCCGUUUAACAAGGAGCCUCUUAAUGAUCUCAUUAGCCCGGACAGGGCCCUUAGGAAACUUGAGGCAAAGCCCUGCUUUAAAUGGGGCUUCUUUGAAGUGGCCACCACCUGAAGCAGCCACCUGAGGGGGCGGGAACAAAGCCAGACUGUGAGGCCCACACCCUCUUGGGCAGGCGCCACACGGGGCUGCUAAUGCUAUAAGACUUGGCCUCCGUGUGGCCCAGGGCACCCGUCGGGUUUCCAUUAGCUCCAUCCCAGCUGCCCUCUCCACAGGCUUGUUCAGAUGGGUGACCUGCCUGGCCACAAAUGAGGUCAUGCGCCAUGAUGGCGACAGCCAGGAGCCUGUGGCCUUCCUUAGGCCUCCCCUCUCGGGUUUGGACUUCAGGCUUCCCCGGUCUGGCUCAUGACCGUGCAUGGGUUCUCCCUGACCCCAGGCUCAAACCUCCACUCUCUGUAUCCCCCAUUUCUUGUCAUCAGUCCUCCUGUGUCUAGACUGACCAACUCCCAUCUCUCCAUGAUGCCCUUAAGGGCGAGGGCCUGAUCUUCCAUGAGAGCUGCUGUGGAGACCCCAACCGGACCAUCCCCCACCCACAUGAAUGUCUGCCUCUCUGGCCAGCUCUGGGUCCUCUGCACUCUCUCUCCCUCCGGCUGGGUCCAGCAUGAAGGGGCAGGGGCAGCAUCCCAGCAGGGUCAUGCCACUUCCCCAGCUGCCCCAGCAAGGCUCAGGGUGACCAACUUUCUGAGAAAUAAGCACCUGGCCAAUUGUCCGCCCCCAGGGUGCAAAAUCCAGACAGGCAGAAGGAACUGAUUCACCUUUCCAGAACUACAAGCCGAGGCCCUCCCAGCAGGCUGUGGCUGAGGCCCCUGCCUAUUAAUAGUCAAGCAGAUGUUUGCCUCCCUGAAUGAGACUCUUUAUUUGCAAGCUGCGUUGACAAAACAGAUUCUGCUCCUUCCUGCCGGGAAUAUUUGGGGGUGGAGGGGCCGCAGAGAGAUGUUUCUUCCAGGGAAGUUCAGAAGGUCAGCGUAGGAAGAGACCUUAGCGGUGACCCCCCUCGACACUGGGCAGGCCAAAGCUAAGCUCAUUAUCACCGUCCUUUCUGCCCCCUCCCUCACUCCUCCCCCCCUCCCUGGUUCCCAGUGUCAGCCAACAGCCCCAUUCUUCCCCAGGUACUGCCUCCUCGACAUUCUCACCCCUCCUUUGACCCAGCCUCAUUCUAGAAGCCAACAAAGUCAAGUCCUUGGGUGACUGCCCCCUGCUGACAUCCAGGCCUCCUCCCCUGCACCCCCAGCCCUUCAACCCACUGUGUCUAUGACUGCGUGCUCUCCCUUAGCUCCUGGCCUUGGCACAUGCCAUUCCAUCUGCCUGGGGUUCCUUUUUCCUGCCCUCUUCCCAUGUUUAAUGGUCCCUUACAUCUUGGCCUAAAAGAAACCAGUAAGCCUGGCCUCCCCAUACCCACCUCAGAGGGUUUUCACGCUCUGCUGAAUUUACUCCCUCAUCUGAAGUUCUAGGAGGGGCAAGUGAGGCCUUUUUUUUUUUUUCAUUGCAUUUCUCUACCAGCCACGAGGAUACCACAAGACAUUGAACUAAAUCAGAGAAAGGGCGUAUGAAUUCUUUCUUCCCCUUCUCCACAUCAGUCACCAAGUCCUGUUAAUUCAAACUGGCUAAGAACAGGAGAUCUGGUGGGGCCCCUGGGUGGCUCAGUCGGUUAAGCAUCCUACCCUGGCUCAGGUCAUGAUCUCACGGUUUGUGAGUUUGAGCCCCACAUUGGCCUCUGUGCUGACAGCUCAGAGCCUGGAGCCUGCUUCAGGUUACAUGUCUCCCUCUCUCUGCUCCUCCCCUGCUUGUCCUCUCUCUCAAUAAUAAAUAAAUAAACAUUUAAAAAAAAAGAAUAUGAAAUAAAUCAUGAUAGCAAAACUUUACAAACUCUUAAAAAAAGAGCAGGAGAUCCGGAAAUGUCGGUUUGAAUCACGGUUCCGCCGCUUACCAGCUGAGAGACCAUGGUAAGUCACUUAACCUUACAAAACCUCAGUUUCUUCACCUGUAAAAUGGAGCCAAGCAUCGUGCCUGCCUUGUAAUCUUGUUGUAAGAAGUCAAUGAGCUAAUGCUUAUAAAAUGCCUAACCGAGUGCUUGACAUAUUCAGUAAAUGUUAGCUGCAAAAAUAACUUAACUUUCAACAUUUUGAUUCAAAGCAGAAUCUCCCACCCAUCCCUGCCAUCCCAUCCACUACCACCCAUGAUCGUUAUUGCUCCACCGCACAUGCUUUGAGAAAUGCCCGUCUAGACUAACCCCCCCUGCUAUAAACAGGCAAGGCAUGGAAGGCCCGAAGGAACAGAGGAAAAACCCAGGAACCUACGGGUUAGGCACUGUCACAUGGCUGCACCUCUACUUAUUGGCCAGGGCAGCUGAGCCUGUGGCCACCCGCUGGCCCUAGAACCUACAAUGGCUGGCCUCCCACGGAAACACCAGGCACCAAAGGGUUAGCUGUCUUCACAUUAGAGCAGCCCAGGCAUGCUUUUUGGGUCCCGAAGCCCCUCGAGGGUGCUAAGGCAUGUUUGUGCCAGGAGUUAAGGGAUUUUGUUCCUUCUCUGCCUGAUGGGGGUUGACAGGGGCCUGGAACGGUUUGGGGAGGAAGGAGAUAUUCAUUCAGUCCUUGGAGCUGGUGCUCUCUGCUUCCAGGAGGUCUGUCGGUUGUUCCUGGUCCCCUGGACUUCAAAGCCUUCUCAAAUUGUCUUCAAAGAGUGAGUACUAAUCUCUGCCCGGUGUAGGAGUUUUCAGUCCCCAAAGCACAUUGACUUCCGUGAGCUCAUUUGAUCUCCUAGCUGUCCUCCCUGUGAGCAGAGGAAGAUUCUCCCUAACCUGGCCGAUGGUAAAUUUGAGGCUCAGAAGAGGCAAAUGCCUUGCCUAAGGCCACAGAGUGAGGAUGUCGCCACGCUGAGGCUGGAACCCGGGUCUCCUGGUUUCCCACCCAGCACUAUUGGGUUCCCUGGCUGUUGUUCAAGGCGGGUAGCUAGCAGAAUGUUCUUUGGCUGUUAGAGGCCCGGGCCCUUUAAGCAAAUAGUUCUGAGCCCAAACAACAUAUGAAAAGAGUCUCAACCUCAUUCGGGUUCAGAGAAAUACAAAUUAAGUCCAUUAUGAGAUGCCAUUUUACACCCACGAGAUAUUCAGAAAACCAUCUGCUGUUAUUUUUAUAAAGUUGAUCAUUCACUUUCUCUACAAUGUAGCAAUUCCACUCCUAGACCUAUAUGUUUCCAGGUAUAUACGCAUGAGUGCUUACCAUUUGGACCACGCUGGUUAUUAAAAUUUUGAAAUAAUUUCAGGUCAGUUGGAAAAUAGCUGCUAUCCCAAGUCUCUCCACCCAGCUCCUUCACUGUAUGGCCCCCCACCCCCACCCGUGCCCCCAUGAGCUGGCUGCCCCAGCCCCUCUCCUGGGGAGCCUCCCAACAUUCUCAUGAUCCGGGAACUAUAAGGUUAACACCUGGCCUCUGGGAAUACCCCCGACUCCAUAACAUUCAUUCUGAUCACUCCAUGCCCUUACCUUUCCGGCUGUUUGUUAUUAUUAUACAUACCCCAGAGAAACUCUGGUUCACAUUCACCAAGAAAAAUGCACAAGUUUAUUCAUAGCAUUUAUAUUCUGAGUAGAAACAACACCAACUGCAAUAACCACAAUAACAAAUCAACUAUAAAUAACCCAGCGUGCGUGGACGGAAGAUGCCCGUCUGACCUACCUCCUUCUGUUGGGUCAGAGAAGCUGUCCGGGGGCCCAGAGAUGAGCCUGUCUCCCAGCAGGGCCCAAGCCCCGUCAGAUGUCAUGCUGGAUAGCAGCAGGUCCUAAGCCCUCCUUUCUGUGCCAGGAGUGACAUUCCUCAGGGUUGUCUCGUAUUUUCCAGCCAAGGAGACUGCUCUUCGUCCCAUUUUGCAGGGAAGGAAGCUGAAACUCCAAGAAUUAAGGUGGUUUGCCCAAAGUCACACAUUGUAGCGCUGAUUGCAAAGCCCAGAUUCUUCUUCAGCGCUGUGGGCUCACUGCCACAGACUGGGGGUUUUUGGGGUGCAAGACUUUCUCUGCUCAGGAUCCCCAGCAUCUAGCACAGAGCCUGGCAUGUGAAAGAUGCCCAGCCAACAGAGACCGAUAACUGCAAGCCAAUCAGCCUGUUGUGUCUGCCCUCAGCCUCUGUGCUGGCCUUACCCCUGCCUGGUCUCUGAAAUCCAGGCCCAAAGGUCAUUUCUGCCCUGAGUUCCCUUGCUUCCCGAUCUCCUGAUUUUGAACCUGGACUUGUUAGACGCACCUCUGAGGGGCCCCUCCAAAUCUUUAAACAUAAAGAAUGUGACUCUGCUCACAAGCACCUACUACGUACGAGGGACAGACUCAGCUUGGGAGAAACAGCUCUGACCACAAAUCGUCCUUGCUUUCUGAAGCUCUCAGCCUACGCUGGGUGACCCCAACCCUGUAAGCACAUCGUCCAGAAGUGUGGGUGCUGAAGUGAAGCCCACGUGCUUGGCUCGGUGGCCUGUCUACCAGUCGAAAUGGUAAAUCACAUUGGCACUGUGGUGCUUGGUUGCGUGUUCUGUCCCCACAUGCCUCCUGUCUGACCUUCUGCCUGAGAAAGAAUUUGUUUUUGCUCCGGGAAGAGAGGUAUGGCUGUGGAAAGUUCAAUGUGCUCAUUUAUUUGUUUGGCUUCCUUAAUUUAAUCUCUUUAACAAAUAAAAAUAAAGAUAGUGUGUUUGCCCAAAUAGUGACAGGCCCCAUCUGAGAUGUUGUUAUUACUCUUCUAGAAUUAAAACCACACCACUGCUGCUGAUGGACCUCGGUGCCCGGGGCAGGGGGAAAGUGCCGGGUGGGGUAGGAUCCCAAGCCCCCAGCCCAGCUCCGCCAGUAACUGAUGUCGGAAAAAUCAUUUCGUUUCCCCAGGCCUGUUUCCCUCCUUUAUGAAAUGAAAGAGUUGGACACGCUUAUAAAGACAGACUUUUCAGGGCGCCUGGGUGGCUCAGUCAGUUAAGUGUCCGACUUCGGCUCAGGUCGUGAUUCCGCGGUUCAUGAGUUGGAGCUCCGCAUUGGGCUCUGUGCUGACAGCUUGGAGCCUGGAUCCUGCUUCGGAUUCUGUGUCUGCCUCUCUCUCUCUGUCCCUCCCCCACUCAUGCU